AAUCACAGGAGUAUACUG
rnacentral:miRNA from 2 species